rnacentral:rRNA from 1 species
CGUAGGGUACAAGCAUUAAUCGGAAUGAUUGGGCGUAAAGGGCGCGUAGGCGGCCCUGUAAGUCAGAUGUGAAGUUCCAGAGCUCAACUCUGGAGCUGCAUUUGAAACUGCGGGGCUAAAGAGGUAAGACGGAGAAAGCGGAACUCCACGUGUAGCGGUGAAAUGCGUAGAUAUGUGGAAGAACACCUGUGGCGAAAGCGGCUUUCUAGUUUUAACCUGACGCUGAGGCGCGAGAGCAAGGGGAGCAAACAGGAUUAGAUACCCUGGUAGUCCUUGCCGUAAACGAUGUGUACUUGAUGUAGUUGGGCUCAACCCUGACUGUAUCGUAGCUAACGCGAUAAGUACACCGCCUGAGGAGUACGCUCGCAAGGGUG